CAAAAAAAAGGGUACUUCUGGCAUCCAGUCGGCGCAUGUGCGCGUGUGCCGGCGCCGGUAAAAUCCUCCUUCUCCAUAUUUCUUUUGCUUUGCUCCUCUGUCGUCUCUCUCCAGCCUUCGUCUUGUUCUCGUCUCUGGCUUUGGAUUUCUCUCUGGUAAGGUCCUCUACUCGCGAAGAUGAUUCAAUCCGGCCGCGAUGUGCUUGUUCUAGAGUCUAGGCGCAGAGGUUGGUCGUGGUUUUGUCUGUGGAGAUCAGCUUUAAGGGAGAUUUUCAAUUUUUGGAUCUUUCUGGUGGUCUUCUAUUGCUUUCUUGGGGUUUGAUGGACAGUCUUCUCGGAUGGUUAGCUCCGCCGGUUAUGUAGCUUCCUCGGACGGCGGUUGGUUUCCCGGACCUCUACGGCGCCGUGGUGAUGCGCUUCCUAUUCCGCUUAAGUCAGGUGAGCUUCAACGGUCUUUUUGACACGGAGAUAAGCUGUGGACCGUUGUAUGCAAUCGAGUAUGGUACACAGUUCUGUUUCUGGCUCGUCAAGGGUUAUGGAGGUCGUUGUUGGGAGGUCGUCUAGAAAUUUCUUGUAGCAGCUCAGUGGAUCUUCUCAUCUCAGAUUCUCCAAUAUUGUCACUGCCUUGUUCCUUCGCUAGAUGGCGACGCCUGUCUCUCCUGAAGGUCCGUCUUCGUGACGAAGAGGAGGAUGUGCAAUUGGGCUUUUGGAUGCACGGUUUGUGUUCUUUUGCCCUAUCUCUUCUUCUGUUCUCUUAGAGAUUUAUUGACAGGGAAGCUUAUGAGUUUAGACAAAUACAUCGAGAGCCAAUUACUCUGGAGGUGACUCCAGAAGUCCCUACAUCCGAGGCAAGGAGGUGAUUCACACCUUCCCAUGUCUCUCUCGUCAAAGGUUGAGAACUGCUCUCGAUUCUCAUUGCAAAUGGAUCAAAUUAGUGAAACGUACAGGAUGAUGGUUGAAUGAAACUAGUUAGGAAAUGGAUAAUAGAUGUUAUUUUGUAGGAGUCGACUUGUAAUCGAAUCCAAAUUCUCAGUUUUGGAUUGAUUAAAUAUAAUAUAAUAUGUUUUUUUUUAA